GGAGGGCUGCAGCUCAGUGGUAGGGCAGUUGCUUUGCAUGCAGAAGGUCCCAAGUUCAACCCCUGACAUUUCCA